UUCUACUGACCAUUAUACGGGCACGUUCAGCUCGUCUCAAGUUUUUAUGGGCUCCUCUACUUACCGAGUAUCGAUUCUCAUCCUGAAAGUACACUUGGGUUAUGAAACAUAUCACAGAUGCAUUCAUGAUAAACUUCUAUUUAUGAAGAUUGAUUCAAAUGAAAAUUCUAACCAUGCUGUAUUCUUCUAGCCAGCGCUCCUCAUCACGUGCUAACAUCCACUUCUCAACUUUUUCCAUUAUAGCCUUCCUGCUGGAAGCCUCUUCUCUUGCUCUUGAUAUCUGUUCAUCCAUGCUCAUGAGGAGGUCGGAAUGGUCAAUCUCCCCUUUUAUAGAUGAAUCUCCACGUGAGAUAUCUUGCAUAUCAACUCUAGUUCCUCCUGCUUCUUCUGGAAAAGCUCCUUCGUCUUGCUUGCUUUUAGUUGAUCUAGUCUUUUUACUUCAGCUUCAGCCUUGUAAAAAGUUGAGGCUUUUUAAAUUUCUUAGAUAUUAUAUUUUGUAGAUCUUCAAGUUAGAUACAUACCUGCUGGACUAUCUCUAGAGUAAGACUUCCUGGCUCUGAUACUUCCACUGAUGAGACUGACAACAGAUUGAUUACGUGGGAAAAAGAUUGUCUAUCACUGUAAGGUGUGUCCAUAAGAUUCCAUAGAUUUGAGAGUGCUUCGCCUAAAAGGUGAAGCUACAAAACAUAUCAAGAGUACCAAAUUGUAUAAACUUGAAAGCAUAAAAGUCAAGGAUAAAAUACUACUUUAAGUUUAAAGACAUUAUUUAUUUUAGAA